GACGAACGCUGGCGGCGUGCCUAAUACAUGCAAGUAGAACGCUGAAGGAGGAGCUUGCUCUUCUGGAUGAGUUGCGAACGGGUGAGUAACGCGUAGGUAACCUGCCUGGUAGCGGGGGAUAACUAUUGGAAACGAUAGCCAAUACCGCAUAAUAGUAGAUGUUGCAUGACAUUUACUUGAAAGGUGCAAUUGCAUCACUACCAGAUGGACCUGCGUUGUAUUAGCUAGUUGGUGGGGUAACGGCUCACCAAGGCGACGAUACAUAGCCGACCUGAGAGGGUGAUCGGCCACACUGGGACUGAGACACGGCCCAGACUCCUACGGGAGGCAGCAGUAGGGAAUCUUCGGCAAUGGACGGAAGUCUGACCGAGCAACGCCGCGUGAGUGAAGAAGGUUUUCGGAUUGUAAAGCUCUGUUGUAAGAGAAGAACGAGUGUGAGAGUGGAAAGUUC
rnacentral:rRNA from 1 species